UGAGAAUAUGCGGUGUUUCAAUUUCUGUUCUUGUGUCAGUUUGCUGAGGAUGACGUUCUCCAGAUUCAUCCAUGUCCCUACAAACGACACAAACUCAUCAUUUCUGAUUGCUGCAUAAUAUUCCAUGGUGUAUAUGUGCCACAUUUUUCCAAUCCAGUCUAUUUAUUUACAUUUUUACAAUUAUUCCUCAGAGCAAACAUGAAGUAUAUACAAUUGUUGUGCUUAUUUUACAGAUAAGGAAACUGAGCCUUACAGAAGUUAAAUUAUCUUCCCAAUAUCACAGAGCUAGGAAACAACAGAGCAGGCAUUAUUUUCAUCAGGAGAAAAAAAUAUCGGAAGCUAAAGAAAAUAUAGAAGAUAAUCUCAAUCUCAUCUACAUUUCAAUUUUGCAAUAGUCUAUACCAUUUGAGGAUUAACAGAAAUAUUACACGAUAUAAGCUAGCAAUUAUUAUGUAUAAGUAUCCAUUGCCCAAAAACAUCUCCAUAAGUCAACUGCUUU
rnacentral:lncRNA from 13 species